AUGGAGCACGCCGCGUGAGUGAUGAAGGUUUUCGGAUCGUAAAACUCUGUUGUUAAAGAAGAACAAGUGUUAGAGUAACUGUUAACACUUUGACGGUAUUUAACCAGAAAGCCACGGCUAACUACGUGCCAGCAGCCGCGGUAAUACGUAGGUGGCAAGCGUUGUCCGGAUUUAUUGGGCGUAAAGCGAGCGCAGGCGGUUUUGUAAGUCUGCUGUGAAAGCCCUCAGCUCAACUGAGGAAGUGCAGUGGAAACUACAAAACUUGAGUACAGAAGAGGAAAGUGGAACUCCAUGUGUAGCGGUGAAAUGCGUAGAUAUAUGGAAGAACACCAGUGGCGAAGGCGGCUUUCUGGUCUGUUACUGACGCUGAGGCUCGAAAGCAUGGGUAGCGAACAGGAUUAGAUACCCUGGUAGUCCAUGCCGUAAACGAUGAAUACUAGGUGUUGGAGGGUUUCCGCCCUUCAGUGCCGCAGCUAACGCAUUAAGUAUUCCGCCUGGGGAGUACGACCGCAAGGUUGAAACUCAAAGGAAUUGACGGGGGCCCGCACAAGUGGUGGAGCAUGUGGUUUAAUUCGAUGCUACGCGAAGAACCUUACCAGCUCUUGACAUCUUCUGCCAACCCAAGAGAUUGGGCGUUCCCUUCGGGGACAGAAUGACAGGUGGUGCAUGGUUGUCGUCAGCUCGUGUCGUGAGAUGUUGGGUUAAGUCCCGCAACGAGCGCAACCCUUAUUAUUAGUUGC
rnacentral:rRNA from 2 species